rnacentral:rRNA from 1 species
AGUUUCUUGUAAUUAUUUAGGAGAUCUGACCUGCCCACUGAAAAUAUUUUGAAGGGCCGCAGUAUUUUGACUGUGCAAAGGUAGCAUAAUCAUUAGUCUUUUAAUUGAAGGCUGGUAUGAAUGGUUGGAUGAGGUAAAUUCUGUUUUAUGUUAAUUGAUGUUGAAUUUAGAUUUUAAGUAAAAAUACUUAAAUGUUAUUAAGGGACGAGAAGACCCUAUAGAGUUUAAUAAAUGUAAUAACUAAUUGAGUUAAAGUUUAAUUUUUGGUUUUUAUGUAAUUUAUUUAAUUGGGGUGAUUGGAAGAUAAAAUAAACUCUUCUUUAUAUUUAAUAAAUUAAUUAGUUGUAUGAUCCAUAUUUAAUGAUUAAAAGAUUAAAUUACCUUAGGGAUAACAGCAUAAUUCUUUUUAAGAGUUCAUAUCGAAAAAAGAGUUUGUGACCUCGAUGUUGGAUUAAGAUUAGUUAUGGGUGCAGAUGUACAAUAACUGGGUCUGUUCGACCUUGAAAAUCUU